UGCCUGGAAUGUGGGCACAUCCCCAGAUGCAAGGGGAGGCAGCAUCUGAGACCACGUGGCACCCUCGAAGCAAGACAGUUUAGCAACGAUUCUUCACUAAGACUUGUAUAGUAUGUGUGGCUCUAAGUAUCCCGAGAUAUUUGAAUAGAAACAUCGUCAGCUUAAAAGUAAAAGGCCCCACUGGACUGCUCAGAGUUGUGAUUCCCAAAUAAGCAAGUAUUGGAAGAGAUAAGCAAUGGGAAUGACUUUGUGCAAAUGAAUCCAUCAACAUGUUCGAUUAAAUGCUCUAAUGCCAAGAUGGUGAGCUCCGUGAGAACACAGACUAUGGUCUUCACUCGUGUGGCUUCUCAGUUCACUGACGGAGUUCACUGAUUCACUGAAUUAUUGAGGACACACCAAAGCCCAACAGUACACUUAAGCAGAGAGAUUGUGCUGAGAACGUUAACAUGAUACCUCUGCGUAGUGCAGUGUUGACAACAAGGACUACUCAGAACAUUUGUUCUCAUGAUUGGCUCUGUGCCUCAUAGGAAGAAGUGAAUCAACAGUCUUUCUGGAGUCACUUCAGUGGAGUACCAGUUUCUGCUAUGGUUGCUUAUGGGAUAAGAUGGGGCAGAAGCUGCUUUGGAGGGACUC